GAUGAACGCUGGCGGCGUGCCUAAUACAUGCAAGUCGAGCGAACGGACGAGAAGCUUGCUUCUCUGAUGUUAGCGGCGGACGGGUGAGUAACACGUGGAUAACCUACCUAUAAGACUGGGAUAACUUCGGGAAACCGGAGCUAAUACCGGAUAAUAUUUUGAACCGCAUGGUUCAAAAGUGAAAGACGGUCUUGCUGUCACUUAUAGAUGGAUCCGCGCUGCAUUAGCUAGUUGGUAAGGUAACGGCUUACCAAGGCAACGAUGCAUAGCCGACCUGAGAGGGUGAUCGGCCACACGGGAACUGGGACACGGUCCAGACUCCUACGGGAGGCAGCAGUAGGGAAUCUUCCGCAAUGGGCGAAAGCCUGACGGAGCAACGCCGCGUGAGUGAUGAAGGUCUUCGGAGCGUAAAACUCUGUUAUUAGGGAAGAACAUAUGUGUAAGUAACUGUGCACAUCUUGACGGUACCUAAUCAGAAAGCCACGGCUAACUACGUG
rnacentral:rRNA from 1 species